rnacentral:rRNA from 1 species
AUUGAACGCUGGCGGCAGGCCUAACACAUGCAAGUCGAGCGAGCGGCGGACGGGUGAGUAAUGUAUGGGGACUGCCCGAUAGAGGGGGAUAACUACUGGAAACGGUGGCUAAUACCGCAUACUAUCGGAUAACCCAUAUGGGAUUAGCUAGUAGGUAAGGUAAUGGCUUACCUAGGCGACGAUCCCUAGCUGGUCUGAGAGGAUGAUCAGCCAAACUGGGACUGGGACACGGCCCAGACACCUACGGAGGCAGCAGUGGGGAAUAUUGCGCAAUGGGCGCAAGCCUGAUGCAGCCAAGGCGAGUGAAUGAAGAAGGCCCUAGGGUAGUAAAGUACUUUCAGUCGAGAGGCGUUAGCGACAGAAGAAGCACCGGCUAACUCCGUGCCAGCAGCCGCGGUAAUAC